rnacentral:rRNA from 1 species
AUGCGAAAGCGUGGGGAGCAAACAGGAUUAGAUACCCUGGUAGUCCACGCUGUAAACGAUGUCGAUUUGGAGUUUGGGGGCAUGACCCUUGGGCUCCGGAGCUAACGCGUUAAAUCGACCGCCUGGGGAGUACGGCCGCAAGGUUAAAGCUCAAAUGAAUUGACGGGGGCCCGCACAAGCGGUGGAGCAUGUGGUUUAAUUCGAUGCAACGCGAAGAACCUUACCUGGUCUUGACAUCCAUAGAAUCUUUCAGAGAUGAGAGAGUGCCUUCGGGAGCUAUGAGACAGGUGCUGCAUGGCUGUCGUCAGCUCGUGUUGUGAAAUGUUGGGUUAAGUCCCGCAACGAGCGCAACCCUUAUCCUUUGUUGCCAGCACGUAAUGGUGGGAACUCAAAGGAGACUGCCGUUGAUAAAGCGGAGGAAGGUGGGGACGACGUCAAGUCAUCAUGGCCCUUACGACCAGGGCUACACACGUGCUACAAUGGCGUAUACAAAGGGAUGCGAAGGUGCGAACUGGAGCGGACCUCCUAAAGUACGUCUAAGUCCGGAUUGGAGUCUGCAACUCGACUCCAUGAAGUCGGAAUCGCUAGUAAUCGUGAAUCAGAAUGUCACGGUGAAUACGUUCCCGGGCCUUGUACACACCGCCCGUCACACCAUGGGAGUGGGUUGCACCAGAAGUAGAUAGCUUAACCGCAAGGGGGGCGUUUACCACGGUGUGAUUCAUGACUGGGGUGAAGUCGUAACAAGGUAACCA